CGGCCCCGCCGGGCCUGCUGCAGCGCGCCGUGGGCAGCGCGCCUCUGCGGGCGGAGGUGCCGGCUCCAGGCCGCCGCUGCAACGAGCGCACCGGGGCGGUGACAGCUGAGGGCUCCCAGCGCUUGAGGGGCGGGGGAGAAGAGAGCGGGGCGUGUGAGGAGGCGGCUGCAAGAGGGGAUGACCCGGUUUGGGUUUGUUUUGGAGGGGUUUCUGUGCUUUUCUCUUUCCCUGGGACUCGUUCGGACGCGGGGUGUUAGCCGUGCUGGAGCCUUUCCCCUCACUGUGGUGCUGUGGGUCGGGCUGCGGAGAGCUGUGAUGUUGUUACCUGAAAUAAUUUGGUGCUUUCUGGGCCACUCCAGCGCUAUAGCGUCUCAAUUGGGCUGGCGAGGGGUGGUAAUGCAUUUUGAGUGGGUUGCUGGAAACCAAGCAAACAAGUUCUUUUCAAGACGAAAGUUCGCAUCACCCCCAGGCAAGUGGUUGUCCUGCUUAUGUAGGAGCUGCCUAAAUUUAAGGUGGGCAAAAGGUAGACAAGGCUUUCCUCAGUCACCCCACGUGUGCUCAGCUGGAGGGCAGUCCUUCCGGAAACCAACCCCCGAGUGCAUGCAGUGGGUCCUGACUUUGUCCUGGUGCCUUACAGGGAAGGAAGCCCAGAAAGGGCCUCUCCUCUUUGACGAUCUCCCGCCAGCCAGCAGUGCUGACUCAGGAAAAGGAGGCUCUUUACUCUUUGAUGAUCUUCCGCCAGCCAGCAGUGGUGACACAGCUUCCAGUGCUACCGAGCAGGUCUCAUCAGCAGGGAGCCACGGGAAAGGGGAGAAGAGAAAGUCCUUGGAGGAGGAAGAAAAGAAUGGCAGGGAAGAACUUGUGGAAAAGAAAGUUUGUAAAGGGUCAGUGGGCAUUCUUGGAUUGAAGGGUUAUGUGGCAGAGAGGAAAGGUGAAAGAGAAGACAUGCAGGAUGCACAUGUCAUCUUAAAUGAUAUCACCAAGGAAUGCCAGCCUCUGCCCUCCCAAAUCACACGUGUCUCGUACUUCGCUGUAUUUGAUGGCCAUGGGGGAGUCCGAGCCUCAAAAUUUGCAGCACAGAAUCUGCACCAGAACCUGAUUAAGAAAUUUCCUAAAGGUGAGGUAGCCAGCGUGGAGAAAACUGUGAAGAGAUGCCUUUUGGACACCUUCAAACACACGGAUGAAGAGUUUCUAAAGCAGGCGUCCAGCCAGAAGCCAGCAUGGAAGGAUGGCUCCACAGCUACUUGUGUCCUAGCUGUCGACAACACUCUCUACAUAGCCAACCUUGGGGACAGCCGGCACAGGCGAUUCUGUGUCGUUAUAAUGAAGACAGUCAAAAACAUGCAGCCUUAAGCCUCAGUAAGGAGCAUAACCCCACCCAGUAUGAGGAGCGUAUGCGGAUACAGAAAGCUGGAGGAAAUGUCAGGGACGGAAGAGUCCUGGGAGUGCUGGAGGUUUCCCGCUCCAUUGGGGAUGGCCAGUACAAACGCUGUGGUGUUAUCUCUGUGCCAGAUAUCAAACGCUGCCAACUCACACACAAUGACAGGUUCAUUCUGAUAGCGUGUGAUGGCCUCUUUAAAGUCUUUACACCAGAAGAAGCUGUAAACUUCAUUGUUUCCUGCCUUGAGGAUAAAAACAUCCAGACGAGAGAAGGGAAGCUGGAAGCAGAUGCUAGGUAUGAAGCUGCAUGUAACCGACUGGCCAACAAGGCAGUGCAGCGAGGAUCGGCGGACAAUGUCACAGUCAUGGUGGUGCGGAUAGAGCACUGAAUGAUGAGGAGCAGCAGCAGGUUCCCCAGCUUCUGGUGGAUGUAAGGGAAGGGAGAAGUCUGUGUGUGUGCAUGUGUGGCCAGGGGAGGGAGGGUCCUGCUGGAUGCUCUUCAGUGUAAAUAAAGUUGGGUUGGUUUUUUUUCUAAUAGUUAUAGCUCACUUGGCUAGCAGGUUUUUUUAAGUGUCUGCCACAGUGGAUCCGCCUUUGCGGGAAUCUCUUGUCCUGUCAACCUUCCGCGAAUGUCUUGGCAAACCAAAUAAAUCCAUUUGGCAGAGGUGCUAGCAAGAGCAGGUAUCUGUGGGCAUGCAGCCUGA